CGGCGGACGGGUGAGUAACACGUGGAUAACCUACCUAUAAGACUGGGAUAACUUCGGGAAACCGGAGCUAAUACCGGAUAAUAUAUUGAACCGCAUGGUUCAAUAGUGAAAGACGGUUUUGCUGUCACUUAUAGAUGGAUCCGCGCCGCAUUAGCUAGUUGGUAAGGUAACGGCUUACCAAGGCAACGAUGCGUAGCCGACCUGAGAGGGUUAUCGGCCACACUGGAACUGAGACACGGUCCAGACUCCUACGGGAGGCAGCAGUC
rnacentral:rRNA from 1 species